AUGACGUGUCACUUGAGGUUAGCUACUCGUGAUAGAACUCAUAAAUAUGGGAUGUGUGUGGAGAGUACUUGUUGCUUUUAUGACAAUGAGAAGAAUAUCCAACACCUUUUCUUUGGUUGUGAUACAUUGAAGGCUAUUUGCAAGAAUGUGUUAGCAUGGAUUCAAGUAAAGCACGAACCUGCUGAAUGGAAUGAAGAGCUACAAUGGCUUAGCAGAAAAGGAAGAAGCAGAACUUGGAAAUCUAUGAUGCUCAAGCUAGCAACCACAUAA